AUUGUCCCCUCUGUGUCCCCUCCGGGGUCAUUGUCACCUCUGUGUCCCCUCGGUGUCCCCUCGGUGUCAUUGUCCCCCCCCUGUGUCCCCUUGGUGUCAUUCAUUGUCCCCUCUGUGUCACUCAUUGUCCCCUCUCUGUCCCCUCAGUGUCACUCACUGUCCCCUCUCUGUCCCCUUGGUGUCACUCAUUGUCCCCUCUCUGUCCCCUCUGUGCCAUCAUUGUCCCCUCUGUGUCCCCCCUCUGUCCCCUCGGUGUCACUCAUUGUCCCCUCUGUGUCCCCUCUGUGUCAUUGUCCCCCCUUCUCUGUCCCCUCUGUGUCCCCUCUGUGUCACUCACUGUCCCCUCUCUGUCCCCUCGGGGUCACUGUCACCUGUGUCCCCUCUCUGUCCCUUUGGUGUCACUCAUUGUCCCCUCUCUGUCCUCUCUGUGCCAUCAUUGUCCCCUCUGUGUCCCCUCUGUGUCACCUUGGUGUCACUCAUUGUCCCCUCUGUGUCCCCUCUGUGUCACUGUCCCCCUUCUUUGUCCCCUCUGUGUCCCCUCAGUGUCAUUGUCCCCUCUCUGUCCCCUCGGUAUCACUCAUUGUCCCCUCUGUGUCCCCUCUGUGUCAUUGUCCCCCUUCUUUGUCCCCUCUGUGUCCCCAUUGUCCCCUCUGUGCCAUUGUCACCCCUGUGUGUCCCCCUGUGUCGCUCAUUGUCCCCUCUGUGUCCCCUCUGUGUCACCGUGUCCCCUCAGUGUCACUCAUUGUCCCCUCUGUGUCCCCUCAUUGCCAUUGUCAUUGUCAUUGUCCCCCCCGUCAUUGUCAUUGUCCCCUCCCUGUCAUUGUCCCCUCCGUGUUCCCUCAUUUCCAUUCAUUGUCCCCUCCGUGUCCCCUCCCUGUCAUUGUCAUUGUCCCCUUCCUGCCAUUGUCAUUGUCAUUGCCAUUGUCAUUGUCAUUCUCAUUGUCCCCUUCCUGCCAUUGUCAUUGUCAUUGCCAUUGCCAUUGUCAUUGUCCCCCCCUGUCAUUGCCAUUGUCAUUGUCAUUGUCCCCCCCAUCAUUGU
rnacentral:lncRNA from 1 species